rnacentral:rRNA from 1 species
AACGAACGCUGGCGGCGCGCCUAAUACAUGCAAGUCGAGCGAGAAGACGUAGCAAUACGUUUGUAAAGCGGCGAACGGGUGAGGAAUACAUGGGUAACCUACCCUCGAGUGGGGAAUAACUAGCCGAAAGGUUAGCUAAUACCGCAUACGACUCUCGGUCUGCGGAUCGAGAGGGAAAGCGAUACCGUGGGUAUCGCGCUCCUGGAUGGGCUCAUGUCCUAUCAGCUUGUUGGUGAGGUAACGGCUCACCAAGGCUUCGACGGGUAGCUGGUCUGAGAGGACGAUCAGCCACACUGGCACUGCGACACGGGCCAGACUCCCACGGGAGGCAGCAGUAAGGAAUAUUGCGCAAUGGGCGACAGCCUGACGCAGCGACGCCGCGUGGGGGAUGAAGGUCUUCGGAUUGUAAACCCCUUUCGGCAGGGAAGAUGGAGCGGGUAACCGCUCGGACGGUACCUGCAGAAGCAGCCACGGCUAACUUCGUGCCAGCCGCCGCGGUAAGAC